CUCAAGUAUGGCAGCGAGUGCUUGAUCCCUGCAGGAAGAGCGAGUUGGUGAAAAUCCUGCCUGGCUGGAUCAAGGUUAAGAGAAGGUGACCUCUCUUUGUUCCUGGUUUCUUUGAAGAGCUUCUCUUUGCUUUUGAUGUUCCACAGUUUUAUCAUCGUAAGUCCAGAAAGAACAAUGCCAUGGCGAGGUACUCAGAGCUGAGGGAGGAAGAUUGCUGCAGCCAGUGAGCUAAGCGGAAAGAAUAUCCUGGGCUUCCUUGGGAUCCGAUGUGGACUUGGUCCAGCUGCAGGGAGAGAAUGUACUGCUCAGGCCGACGUGAGGAUCCAAUCCACUCACCGGUUACAUGCCACGAUAUGAGGAAAUCCAAGCUCAGAAUGGAUAAUUCACCUAAGGAAAUACAGAUGGAAAAUGGCAGAGCUGCAAUCUAAACCCAGGUCCAUCUGAUAAUAAAGCCCAGGCUCUCCUCAACCAACUUCAGAUCUAGGAUGCUUCCAGUGAGACUCCGUGCUCCCUCCCUGUGUGGUUCCCAUGGCCUUUCUUUACCUCAAGAAAAUGCAGAGUGAAAAGCAAUGGUAGCAGAAGUUUCUAGAAGUUACUUAUAUGGCAAGUGCAAGUAUUUCAGAACACAUUUGAGAUUCAGGAAGGAGGCAAAAAGGCUUCUGCUGAGCAGUCAAAAUGACGAAGUUUGUAAACUUCACUUUAUUUGGGUCCCUGCUGAAAGUCUACCUACUCUUUAAAAACAAUAACAACAACAAAAAAUGGGAACACACUAUUAACGCUGUUCUGCACAUGUAUUUUUCAAUUAACAAUUGGUGAGUAUUCCCUUUUAGCGCACAUAGAUCUACCUCAUUCAUUUAAGGGCUCUGUAGUGCUGCAUUGUGUGAAUGCACCAAAUGUGUAUUUAUCCUGCAUUCUCUAGGUGGACAUUUUAGACACUUACAAGGGUUGGGGCUCAGAAAGUGAUAUCCCAAAGGCUGAUGUUUUGACAUGCUGAGGGCCCUCAGAAGCCGCCCCCGAACCAAGGUCCCUCUAACUUCUUGUUCCCCAUACCUGCCCCACCACCAAACACAGGGAGGGACUGUCUGUCUUUGGAAAUUUCCUCAUCUGACCAAGAAAGCAUCUUUCCAAAAGAAAUGCAAUUGUCUUAAACACCCUCCCUAGAGGUCUCAUCAAAUAACCAAGAAAGAUAAACCACCAGAAGAGAUGAGACUGGGAAUCAUCACCACACCCAGACAGACUUCAUCUAUUCUUCUGAGAGCAGCUCCAAGAGAUUGCCUGGAGGACUUUAUCUGCUUAAUAAGACAAGCUUUGUUCCUGUACAGCUCCGCCCCUCACCUUCCUGUAAUAUCUGCCUCCCACCUCCCCAGUCCAUACAUCUCCUCCCUCCUGUAUGAAAAAGGGUAUACAAGCUUCUGUGCCCCAUUGGGUUAUUGGGAAAUCAUUCUCCUGUGAUUCCCCUGUGCCAUGCACACUAAAAUAAAAUUUUGUAUGCCUUUUCUCCUAUCGAUCUGCCUUUGG
rnacentral:lncRNA from 1 species